rnacentral:rRNA from 1 species
CCUACGGGGGGCAGCAGUGAGGAAUAUUGGUCAAUGGCCGGAAGGCUGAACCAGCCAAGCCGCGUGAAGGACGAAGGUGCCAAGCAUUGUAAACUUCUUUUGUCGGGGAGCAAAGCGAGUCACGUGUGACUCAUUGAGAGUACCCGAAGAAAAAGCAUCGGCUAACUCCGUGCCAGCAGCCGCGGUAAUACGGAGGAUGCGAGCGUUAUCCGGAUUUAUUGGGUUUAAAGGGUGCGCAGGCGGAGGUGCAAGUCAGCGGUCAAAUUGCGGGGCUCAACCCCGUACUGCCGUUGAAACUGCAUCCCUUGAGUGCGCGAGAAGUAUGCGGAAUGCGUGGUGUAGCGGUGAAAUGCAUAGAGAUCACGCAGAACUCCGAUUGCGAAGGCAGCAUACCGGCGCGCAACUGACGCUCAUGCACGAAAGCGUGGGGAUCGAACAGGAUUAGAUACCCUUGUAGUC